UACAGAGGUCCCAAGCGUUGUUCGGAUUCACUGGGCGUAAAGGGUGCGUAGGUGGUCGGGUAAGUCUGACGUGAAAUCUCCGGGCCCAACCCGGAAACUGCGUCGGAUACUAUUCGGCUGGAGGGUUGGAGGGGGGACUGGAAUACUUGGUGUAGCAGUGAAAUGCGUAGAUAUCAAGUGGAACACCAGUGGCGAAGGCGAGUCUCUGGACAACUCCUGACACUGAGGCACGAAAGCUAGGGGAGCAAACGGG
rnacentral:rRNA from 1 species